rnacentral:rRNA from 1 species
GCGAAUGGCUCAUUAAAUCAGUUAUCGUUUAUUUGAUAGUACCUUACUACUUGGAUAACCGUGGUAAUUCUAGAGCUAAUACAUGCUGAAAACCCCAACUUCGGGAGGGGUGUAUUUAUUAGAUAAAAAACCAACGCCCUUCGGGGCUUUUUGGUGAUUCAUGAUAACUUUACGGAUCGCAUGGCCUUGCGCCGGCGACGGUUCAUUCAAAUUUCUGCCCUAUCAACUUUCRAUGGUAAGGUAUUGGCUUACCAUGGUUUCAACGGGUAACGGGGAAUUAGGGUUCGAUUCCGGAGAGGGAGCCUGAGAAACGGCUACCACAUCCAAGGAAGGCAGCAGGCGCGCAAAUUACCCAAUCCCGACACGGGGAGGUAGUGACAAUAAAUACUGAUACAGGGCUCUUUUGGGUCUUGUAAUUGGAAUGAGUACAAUUUAAACCUCUUAACGAGGAACAAUUGGAGGGCAAGUCUGGUGCCAGCAGCCGCGGUAAUUCCAGCUCCAAUAGCGUAUAUUAAAGUUGUUGCAGUUAAAAAGCUCGUAGUUGAACCUUGGGUCUGGCUGGCAGGUCCGCCUCACCGCGUGUACUUGUCCGGCCGGGCCUUCCUUCUGGAGAACCUCAUGCCCUUCACUGGGCGUGUUGGGGACCAGGACUUUUACUUUGAAAAAAUUAGAGUGUUCAAAGCAGGCCUUUGCUCGAAUACGUUAGCAUGGAAUAAUAGAAUAGGACGUGCGGUCCUAUUUUGUUGGUUUCUAGGACCGCCGUAAUGAUUAAUAKGGACAGUCGGGGGCAUCAGUAUUCAAUUGUCAGAGGUGAAAUUCUUGGAUUUAUUGAAGACUAACUACUGCGAAAGCAUUUGCCAAGGAUGUUUUCAUUAAUCAGUGAACGAAAGUUAGGGGAUCGAAGACGAUCAGAUACCGUCGUAGUCUUAACCGUAAACUAUGCCGACUAGGGAUCGGGCGAUGUUCUUUUUCUGACUCGCUC